GACGAACGCUGGUGGCGUGCUUAACACAUGCAAGUCGAACGGAAAGGCCCUGCUUUUGUGGGGUGCUCGAGUGGCGAACGGGUGAGUAACACGUGAGUAACCUGCCCUUGACUUUGGGAUAACUGCAGGAAACUGGGGCUAAUACCGGAUAGGAGCUCCUGCUGCAUGGUGGGGGUUGGAAAGUUUCGGCGGUUGGGGAUGGACUCGCGGCUUAUCAGCUUGUUGGUGGGGUAGUGGCUUACCAAGGCUUUGACGGGUAGCCGGCCUGAGAGGGUGACCGGCCACAUUGGGACUGAGAUACGGCCCAGACUCCUACGGGAGGCAGCAGUGGGGAAUAUUGCACAAUGGGCGGAAGCCUGAUGCAGCAACGCCGCGUGCGGGAUGACGGCCUUCGGGUUGUAAACCGCUUUCGCCUGUGACGAAGCGUGAGUGACGGUAAUGGGUAAAGAAGCACCGGCUAACUACGUGCCAGCAGCCGCGGUGAUACGUAGGGUGCGAGCGUUGUCCGGAUUUAUUGGGCGUAAAGGGCUCGUAGGUGGUUGAUCGCGUCGGAAGUGUAAUCUUGGGGCUUAACCCUGAGCGUGCUUUCGAUACGGGUUGACUUGAGGAAGGUAGGGGAGAAUGGAAUUCCUGGUGGAGCGGUGGAAUGCGCAGAUAUCAGGAGGAACACCAGUGGCGAAGGCGGUUCUCUGGGCCUUUCCUGACGCUGAGGAGCGAAAGCGUGGGGAGCGAACAGGCUUAGAUACCCUGGUAGUCCACGCUGUAAACGGUGGGUACUAGGUGUGGGGUCCAUUCCACGGGUUCCGUGCCGUAGCUAACGCUUUAAGUACCCCGCCUGGGGAGUACGGCCGCAAGGCUAAAACUCAAAGGAAUUGACGGGGCCCCGCACAAGCGGCGGAGCAUGCGGAUUAAUUCGAUGCAACGCGUAGAACCUUACCUGGGUUUGACAUGGAUCGGGAGUGCUCAGAGAUGGGUGUGCCUCUUUUGGGGUCGGUUCACAGGUGGUGCAUGGCUGUCGUCAGCUCGUGUCGUGAGAUGUUGGGUUAAGUCCCGCAACGAGCGCAACCCUUGUUCACUGUUGCCAGCACGUUAUGGUGGGGACUCAGUGGAGACCGCCGGGGUCAACUCGGAGGAAGGUGGGGAUGACGUCAAGUCAUCAUGCCCCUUAUGUCCAGGGCUUCACGCAUGCUACAAUGGCUGGUACAGAGAGUGGCGAGCCUGUGAGGGUGAGCGAAUCUCGGAAAGCCGGUCUCAGUUCGGAUUGGGGUCUGCAACUCGACCUCAUGAAGUCGGAGUCGCUAGUAAUCGCAGAUCAGCAACGCUGCGGUGAAUACGUUCCCGGG
rnacentral:rRNA from 1 species